ACCAGCAACAAGUAACUGAAGAGCUCUCCUCGCGGAAGAGGUACUAACUAGGAUAAUAUGUCGAAGACAGGUGAGGUCGUAUGCGUUACCGGUGGAAGUGGCUGCAUUGGAUCAUGGGUCGUCCGCCUCCUCCUCGACCGUAAUUACACCGUCCAUGCCACCGUCAAAGAUCUCAAGGACGAGGGUGAGACGAAGCAUCUAGAAGCCCUAGAAGGAGCAUCGACGCGUCUCCGUCUCUUCCAGAUCGACCUCCUCGACUACAACUCCAUCUUCGCCGCCAUCAAUGGCUGCUCCGGCGUCUUCCACCUCGCCUCUCCUUGCAUCAUCGAUCAAGUCCAAGACCCUGAGAAGGAGCUUCUGGACCCGGCGAUCAAAGGAACGCUUAAUGUUCUGACGGCAGCGAAGCAGUCUGGGGUCAGGCGAGUGGUGCUGACAUCCUCCAACUCCGCCAUCAUUCCCAGCCCUCGCUGGCCGUCCGAUAAGAUCAAGGGUGAGGAUUGCUGGACCGAUAUUGACUACUGCAAGCAGAAGGGAUUGUGGUAUUCAUUGUCGAAAACUUUGGCGGAGAAAGCUGCGUGGGAAUUUGCCAAGGAGAAGGGAUUGGAUGUGGUUGUGGUGAAUCCUGGCACCGUGUUGGGCGAUGUCAUUUCGCCCAGGCUCAAUUCUAGCAUGGUGACGCUAGUGCGCCUUCUUGAGGGCUGCACUGAAACAUACGAGAACAUCUUUAUGGGAGCUGUGCAUUUUAAAGAUGUAGCUCUUGCACACAUUUUAGUGUAUGAGAACAAAUCGGCCACUGGUAGACACCUGUGCGUUGAAGCUAUAUCACAUUAUGGUGACUUCGUGGCCAAGGUAGCUGAACUUUACCCUGAGUACAAGGUUCCGAGUUUGCCGAAGGAUACCCAACCCGGGUUGCUGAGGGAAAAAAAUGGAGCGAAGAAGCUAAUGAACUUGGGUUUGGAGUUCAUUCCCAUGGAUCAAAUCAUCAAGGAUGCUGUUGAGAGCCUAAAGAGCAAGGGAUUUAUUUCAUAAACGAAACUGAAGGAUAUGAAACUUAUGAGGAACCUACUUAUUGUAGAAGUGGCGGUCCGCAAGCAGCCUGUGUUGGUUGUGCUGGUUUUGCUGCAUUUUCAGUGCUGAUAGAGAAGUUUUUGGAUAGACAUGAUUGAAUUUGAGGGCAUUGCUAUGUUGCCCCAUUUUUGCAGACUAAAAGUACACAGAUCAGUAGAAGAGACAUAGCAUCUUGGCCUGCAGUAAUACAGAUGUUUUUGCUUGGAUUCAACUUCAGCCCUUGUUAUUAUUAUUUAUCCCCGUUGAUAAAGGGAUGUACCAGCUAAAUUACAAAGCCAAUCAUUUUGUAUUAUGUUAUUCUGUUGACUGCAGUUUCAGUUUCAUAAUUUCAACACAGGAUAUGUAACUGAGGAAAUUGAAUGGAUUAUAGAGAAUGUUUGCUGCAA